rnacentral:lncRNA from 1 species
GUCAAUGGCUCCAAAGGAUGCAUGUCAGCUAAAGUCCAAACUAUAGCUUGUUUGUUAAGAUUCUAGCAGUAGAACAUAACCCUCUUCACAUUAUCCUUGAGCGCAGGAAGAGGUCUAACAGCAGCACCAGCACCUGGGGCUCGGGUGUUCCUUCCAGCAGCUCCUGCACCACCCCCUCUGCCAGCAGCAGCCCCACUUGUUACUGAACCACCGUCAGAUGUCUCAGGCUCCAUAUAAAAUCGAGCACGGAAAGCUGCCAAAUGUGCAUAAUAUGCAGGGGGA